UACGUAGGGGGCAAGCGUUGUCCGGAAUCAUUGGGCGUAAAGAGCGUGUAGGCGGCCCGAUAAGUCCGCUGUGAAAGUCCAGGGCUCAACCCUGGGAUGCCGGUGGAUACUGUCGGGCUCGAGUCCGGAAGAGGAGUGUGGAAUUCCUGGUGUAGCGGUGAAAUGCGCAGAUAUCAGGAGGAACACCAAUGGCGAAGGCAGCACUCUGGGACGUGACUGACGCUGAGACGCGAAAGCGUGGGGAUCAAACAGG
rnacentral:rRNA from 1 species